AGGUCGUGUUGAGGGAAAUUCCUUAGCAUUCCCUUACACCUCUCCCAAGCUUCGUAUAAAGAUUCGCCAUCGUUUUAUUGAAAGUUUGUUAUUUUCUUCUUGAGUUU